rnacentral:rRNA from 1 species
UACAGGGGGUGCAACCGUUGCUCGGAAUCAUUGGGCGUAAAGCGCACGUAGGCGGUCUGUUAUGUCGGAUGUGAAAGCCCUUGGCUUAACUGAGGAAGUGCAUCCGAAACUGGCAGGCUAGAGUACUAAAGAGGGUCGCGGAAUUCCCGGUGUAGAGGUGAAAUUCGUAGAUAUCGGGAGGAACACCGGUGGCGAAGGCGGCGACCUGGGUAGAUACUGACGCUGAGGUGCGAAAGCGUGGGGAGCGAACAGG